CUACGUGCCAGCAGCCGCGGUAAUACGUAGGGUGCGAGCGUUAAUCGGAAUUACUGGGCGUAAAGCGGGCGCAGACGGUUACUUAAGCAGGAUGUGAAAUCCCCGGGCUCGACCUGGGAACUGCGUUCUGAACUGGGUGACUAGAGUGUGUCAGAGGGAGGUAGAAUUCCACGUGUAGCAGUGAAAUGCGUAGAGAUGUGGAGGAAUACCGAUGGCGAAGGCAGCCUCCUGGGAUAACACUGACGUUCAUGCUCGAAAGCGUGGGUAGCAAACAGGAUUAGAUACCCUGGUAGUCCACGCCCUAAACGAUGUCAAUUAGCUGUUGGGCAACUUGAUUGCUUAGUAGCGUAGCUAACGCGUGAAAUUGACCGCCUGGGGAGUACGGUCGCAAGAUUAAAACUCAAAGGAAUUGACGGGGACCCGCACAAGCGGUGGAUGAUGUGGAUUAAUUCGAUGCAACGCGAAGAACCUUACCUGGUCUUGACAU
rnacentral:rRNA from 1 species